rnacentral:rRNA from 1 species
GAGAUUCCCCCAGUAGCGGCGAGCGAACGGGGAGCAGCCCAGAGCCUGAAUCAGUAUGUGUGUUAGUGGAAGCGUCUGGAAAGGCGCGCGAUACAGGGUGACAGCCCCGUACACAAAAAUGCACAUAUUGUGAGCUCGAUGAGUAGGGCGGGACACGUGGUAUCCUGUCUGAAUAUGGGGGGACCAUCCUCCAAGGCUAAAUACUCCUGACUGACCGAUAGUGAACCAGUACCGUGAGGGAAAGGCGAAAAGAAC